rnacentral:rRNA from 1 species
CAGAUUGAACGCUGGCGGCGUGCUUAACACAUGCAAGUCGCGCGUGAAAGGACUUCGGUCCGAGUAAAGCGGCGCACGGGUGAGUAACGCGUGGAUGAUCUACCCAUGAGUUAGGAAUAACGGCUGGAAACGGUCGCUAAUACCAAAUACGCUCCGAUUUCAACUUCGGGGGAAAGGUGGCCUCUGCUUGCAAGCUACUGCUCAUGGAUGAGUCCGCGUCCCAUUAGCUAGUUGGUGGGGUAACGGCCCACCAAGGCGACGAUGGGUAGCCGGUCUGAGAGGAUGACCGGCCACACUGGGACUGGAACACGGCCCAGACUCCUACGGGAGGCAGCAGUGGGGAAUAUUGCGCAAUGGGCGAAAGCCUGACGCAGCGACGCCGCGUGAGGGAAUGAAGGUCCUCGGAUCGUAAACCUCUGUCAGGAGGGAAGAACCGCCACGGUGCUAAUCAGCCGUGGUCUGACGGUACCUCCAAAGGAAGCACCGGCUAACUCCGUGCCAGCAGCUGC